CAGAGGCUGGUUUCCCGGCGGAGGUGUGCCUGUAGUUCUGCACACCUGACGAUGAUCUUCUCAUCAUCAGCUGGAGGUGUUUUCCUCUCGAGUCAUUCCCUGGAUCCUCCCUGAGAGACUUCCGUUGUGGCUUUUGGAUUAAGCCCUCCUCGUGACGCCGUGGGUGGUACCCACAGGUGCAUGGCCCGAGUUCCCAUUUCCUCCUCAUCUGUCGGAUCUCAAGAUUCUCCAGUUUCACUUCCUCCGGCUGGCUGUCGGACCCUUCCCUCCAUCAUCGUCGAAUCCAGAACUUACCUGUCCGCCCUCCACCGCCAUCUCCCAGCCUUUGGACCUCGCUCAGCUCUGCUGCCCAUCCGGAACCCGCAGCAUCCACCCUCUCAAUCCGAGACUAUAUCUACCAGAAAGUAAGAACUGAUUUUCCCUUCUCGCACAUCCUGUUUCCCAGCUGCCAUUGAACUCACCAUUUCCUCUUCGCUGUUCUGCAGUCCCCCCCAGUUUGGACCCUAAGCACGCCAACAUCUGUACUGGGUUAUUGUUUUACAAUAAAUAUUCUUCAACUGA